rnacentral:rRNA from 1 species
GUGGGGAAUAUUGGACAAUGGGCGAAAGCCUGAUCCAGCCAUGCCGCGUGUGUGAAGAAGGUCUUCGGAUUGUAAAGCACUUUAAGUUGGGAGGAAGGGCAGUAAGUUAAUACCUUGCUGUUCUGACGUUACCGACAGAAUAAGCACCGGCUAACUUCGUGCCAGCAGCCGCAGUAAUACGAAGGGUGCAAGCGUUAAUCGGAAUUACUGGGCGUAAAGCGCGCGUAGGUGGUUUUGUAAGUUGGAGGUGAAAUCCCCGGGCUCAACCUGGGAACUGCCUCCAAAACUGCAUGACUAGAGUACGGUAGAGGGUAGUGGAAUUUCCUGUGUAGCGGUGAAAUGCGUAGAUAUAGGAAGGAACACCAGUGGCGAAGGCGACUACCUGGACUGAUACUGACACUGAGGUGCGAAAGCGUGGGGAGCAAACAGGAUUAGAUACCCUAGUAGUCC